CCUCCUUUCUCUACACCCUCUUAUUCUUCACAUGAAAAAUUUUUUUCCAUGAAUUUUUUUCAUGCCUAGAAGCUGUUGCAUGUUCAUAUUUUUUUUUUAAAUUAAAAAUUGAUUGAUUUAAAUUUGAGCUCAAAUAGGUUUGAAUUUGAAUAAAAAUCUAGAAUCCAAAUUGAGUUGGACUCUUCUCUUCAUGCCACCACCUUUCUCCAUG
rnacentral:lncRNA from 1 species